rnacentral:rRNA from 1 species
CAUGGCGGCCACCGCGGCGGGGCCCCACCUCUUCCCAUCCCGAACAGAGCAGUUAAGCCCGCCCGCGCCGAUGGUACUGCCCGCGAUGGGCGGGAGAGUAGGUCGCCGCCACCC